UUGUUUUUUUUGUUUGUUUGUUUUUUUACCAUCUGUAUUAUUUUGGGGCAAGUCACCAAAUGCCUCAGAAUAAACUUCUACCUAUUAAUCUACACAGUUAUGCUAAGAAUUCUUGUUUUUCCUCAUUCAAAUGGCCUGAGAUGUUCAGAGCCCUUGACUGGGCUCUGAACCCAGGUUUUCCUCCCAACCCAUUCAUCGUCACUGAGCAUCCAAUGUUUCCUUUUUAGUCAUGCAACAUUUAGUCGUGCAACAUUUGUGUCAUGCUAAGCAUUUACUGGACAUUGCGAAAUGGAAACGAAUGACGCACACAAGAAGGAAUAAAUAAGAUACCCACAAGAUUUAUUAAACAAUCCAAAAAAAAAAAAAAAGAGGAAUAUUUGAGAAGGCAUAAGUAGGAAGAGAAAGGGGGCAGGAGAGGACAUAAAAAGAUAUAAAGCGGCGAGUUUUCCAUAGCCGGCUACAGAGUUGCUUAGGAACCCACAUAGACUACGAAACAAUGGACAAAUACUACACCCUGGAUUAGCCCAUCACAAUCAUUGCCUUUUGUCACCAGAAGUGGAAACAGAAUUGAGUUUGCUCCAUGGAACACACUCCUGUAGGUUUCUGGGACUCAGUUUUCUCAUCUGUAAAAUGAAGUGUUGAACUUCAUCAGAUCACGUUUAAAAUUCUUUUCAGCUACGGGGAUUGGGAGCAAGCCUACACGAACCACCGGGAAGAGCUUGCAUGUUUGACUUUAAGUCUCAUCUGUGAAUUCCAGUCUCAUCAUCAGAAUCUCUCCAGCAUGUUUCCCCUUUCCCUUUGUGCCUCUCACUCUUCUUGUCUGUCCACAGUUCAAAAGAUUUCUCCUGUCCAAAUGAUUUAUCCUUCUUGAUUUAUGCUGUCAGGUCUGUUUUAGAUAGAGUCCAGACACACUCAUGCGUUGCUUACACAUUCUAACCAAGAGAGACAACUUCAAAUGGAUCAAAGUUAUCUAAAAGAAAGAAUGAGAACUUUAGUCAAAGAUCAGAAGGAAAAAAUAAGAUGAUAAAAUAAACUUGGGAUAAAGAAUUCUAAGGUUUAAACCAAACCAAGGCAGGAAGCAUGUUUCUCUUUCACAAAAUCAGACUAAUUCUUCUGGGAAGGGUUCUUUGAGCAGCAAGGAGUUGCAGUUGCAGACAUGCAGAUCUUUGACGUGGCCACUUGGAGCUUGUCAAAGAGAAACAAUCUGAAAAUUCACUCUGGUCCCUCUGGCUCCCCUGGUUCGCUACACCCUGAGAAAGAAAAAGAUUACACAAGCGCCACCUUUUGGACAAAAUGGCAAUAGCAACAAAGAGGUCAGCUAUUAAAGAGUAUUAAUUCUAGCUCAUUCUUAAAGGGAAUAAUGAAGAGGUAAAUCAUUUUAAUCUUACCAUAAUGCUUGGAAGUUAUAUUCUACAUAGGUCUAGAAAUCUUCCCGCUUUAAAAAUAUAAGUAAAGACUGAAUUAAAACCUGAAUUUGUUGUUUGUCAUUUUUAAAUGGUGUAUUUAAAUAAAGUAAGUAUAUGUGACUUUGUUUUAAAA